AGGAAGCAGCUUGCUGCUUCGCUGACGAGUGGCGGACGGGUGAGUAAUGUCUGGGAAACUGCCUGAUGGAGGGGGAUAACUACUGGAAACGGUGGCUAAUACCGCAUAACGUCGCAAGACCAAAGAGGGGGACCUUCGGGCCUCUUGCCAUCAGAUGUGCCCAGAUGGGAUUAGCUAGUUGGUGAGGUAACGGCUCACCAAGGCGACGAUCCCUAGCUGGUCUGAGAGGAUGACCAGCCACACUGGAACUGAGACACGGUCCAGACUCCUACGGGAGGCAGCAGUGGGGAAUAUUGCACAAUGGGCGCAAGCCUGAUGCAGCCAUGCCGCGUGUAUGAAGAAGGCCUUCGGGU
rnacentral:rRNA from 1 species